UACAACGAAACUGCGAAUGGCUCGGUAAAACAGCAAUAAUUUAUUCGGGGGUAACUGCUACUUGGAUAACCGUAGUAAAGCUAGAGCUAAUACGUGCUACAAAGGCGAGUUUUCGCUCGUGGUGCUAAGUAUUAGGUACAAGCCAAUUUUAUUGGUGAUUCAUACUUAUUUUCUGAUCACACUCUGUGUGACGCCCCGAAUAAAUUUCUGACCUAUCAACUAUGAUGGUAAGGUAGUGUCUUACCAUGGUUGUGACGGGUAACGGACCGUGGGUGCGGGAUUCCGGAGAGGGAGCCUGAGAAACGGCUACCACAUCCAAGGAAGGCAGCAGGCGCGCAACUUACCCAAUCCGAACUUCGGGAGGUAGUGACAAAAAAUAUCAAUAGGGGGACCAAUGGUCUUCUUACUUGGAAUGAAAACAACCUAAACACCUUAUUGAGGAACCAGCAGAGGGCAAGUCUGGUGCCAGCAGCCGCGGUAAUUCCAGCUCUGUAAGCGUAUACCAAAGUUGUUGCAGUUAAAACGCUCGUAGUCGAACUUUGGCGUCAGAUACUGAGACUCCUACUGGACGUUGACGUAUCUACGCCUUUGUGGAGGGGGAUGCGGUGGUGCUUCAUUGUAUCGCCGUAUUUCCGCCACUUUUUACUGUGAAAAAAUUAGAGUGUUCAAAGCGAGCGUUUGCCAUGAAUACAUUAGCAUGGAAUAAUAGAAUAGGACCUGGUCCUGUUUUAUUGGUUUGUCAGUAUCGGGUAAUGAUUAACAGGGACGGUCGGGGGCAUUUGUAUUCCAGCGCUAGAGGUGAAAUUCUUGGAUUGCUGGAAGACAAACAGCUGCGAAAGCGUCUGCCAAGGACGUUUUCAUUGAUCAAGAACGAAAGUAAGGGGAUCGAAGACGAUCAGAUACCGUCGUAGUCUUUACUAUAAACUUUGAGAACUAGGACAUCGGACGUGGCCUUAUUGGUACGUUCGGCACCUUCCGGGAAACCAAAGUGUUUGCUUUCUGGGGGGAGUAUGGUCGCAAGUCUGAAACUUAAAGGAAUUGACGGAAGGGCAUCACCGGGUGUGGAGCCUGCGGCUUAAUUUGACUCAACACGGGAAAACUUACCAGGUCCAGACAUAGUAAGGAUUGACAGAUUGAGAGCUCUUUCUUGAUUCUAUGGUUGGUG
rnacentral:rRNA from 1 species